UACGGGGGGAGCAAGCGUUGUUCGGAUUUACUGGGCGUAAAGGGCGCGUAGGCGGCCUCUGCAAGUCGACUGUGAAAUCUCCGGGCUUAACCCGGAAAGGUCAGCCGAUACUGCGGGGCUAGAGUGCAGAAGGGGCAACUGGAAUUCUCGGUGUAGCGGUGAAAUGCGUAGAUAUCGAGAGGAACACCGGUGGCGAAGGCGGCCUUCUGGACGAGCACUGACGCUGAGACGCGAAAGCGUGGGGAGCAAACAGG
rnacentral:rRNA from 1 species